UACCAGACAGAAAGGAGAAUGAUGUUUUCGGUUUUUAUUUUACAUAUAUGAUAAACACACAGAUGAUACAUUGGAAAUGAUCGGCGAAGGAACGAGCGAGUGGCUGAGUGAGUAAGGAAAGAAAACAGCAAUUUUGUGAUUAUAUCAAAUAGAAGAAUAUGAAGACUGAGAGAACGAAGAAUUUCUCUUUCGGAAAGUCAUCUUUCUAAGAAGAGUGUUAAAGCUUAAAAAAAAAAUGCCGAAGUAAAAAAUGAAUGGAUCGUUGUUUCGUAAGAUGAAAGAAAGAGUUCUGGUAAGAGAUAAAGAUCAAAAGGGUCGAAGAUAAAAUAAGAAGAAGAAGGGGAAAAAAAACAAGGAGCAAAAACAAACCGAAAAAUAAAAUGUGAUGAGGGAGUCUGACAUGAUCAAAGGAUGUAACUCGAUGUAAGCUGUUUUAUCGAUUCAUGGAAUUAUUUUAAAGUCUGAUCGAGAUUCCUGUACAGUUAAAAAGAUUCAUAUCAAUAGAAGAGGAUCGAUGAAAUAAAAAUGAUUCGACGAAUUUGCGAUCGAUUGUAUGCAAAACAAUAGUUUAGAAUGAUAAGCAAACUUUAACGAAGUUAUAUUUUAGAACUUAAAACGCAUCUAAUCUUGACGUAUCAUAGUAAACCAUCGGACGCGAAAUACCAUGACAUCAUUUUUAGUCAAAUUAAUGCAAACGGCUUUUGCCGUUUCCUCUAACGAUUAGCUCGGACGACCAACCGCAAAAUUUAUUUUACGAAUCAUAUCUCAAGUCGAAUCGUCAAAACAAACUAAAUACUAUUUUUCUAUUAGAUAAGCAAACUUUAACGAGCUUUUAAGUUAGAUAUUAAUACGCAACGUAGUUUUAACGUAUCAUAAUAAACAUCGAUUGUGAAAUACCUAAAUGAUAAUGUUUUAAAUCGAAUUAACGCAAAACGUUUUCUCAUUUUUUAACGAUUAGCUUAGACAUCUAAAAUGACUUCCAAUCGCACAAAAUUUAUUUUACGAACGAUAUCUCCAAAUCGAAUCGUCAAAACUAAUUGAAUAUUCUUUUUCUAUUAGAUAAGGAAACCUUAACGCGCUAUUGAUACGUGCGACUGAAAAGCAUUCCAAUUGCAACAUUUAUGAAUCAUAUUUUCAUAGUGAAUCGUUAAAACUGAAUAUUUUUUUCUCACUAGAUAAUAAAUCUUAACGAGCUUUCAAAUUAAAUAUUAAAACUCAUUUAAUUUUAACGUAUCAUACUAAAUCAUUUGGCG